rnacentral:tRNA from 1 species
ACACCCUGGACUUUGAAUCCAGUAACGCAAGUUCGAAUCUCGCCGGGACCU